CUGUAGACACGAGUUUGAUCAUGGCUCAGGACGAACGCUGGCGGCGCGCCUAACACAUGCAAGUCGAACGAGCAAAGAGGAGCUUGCUUCUCUGAGCGAGUGGCGAACGGGUGAGUAACGCGUGAGGAACCUGCCUCAAAGAGGGGGGACAACAGUUGGAAACGACUGCUAAUACCGCAUAAGCCCACGGGUCGGCAUCGACCAGAGGGAAAAGGAGCAAUCCGCUUUGAGAUGGCCUCGCGUCCGAUUAGCUGGUUGGUGAGGUAACGGCCCACCAAGGCGACGAUCGGUAGCCGGACUGAGAGGUUGAACGGCCACAUUGGGACUGAGACACGGCCCAGACUCCUACGGGAGGCAGCAGUGGGGAAUAUUGCACAAUGGGGGAAACCCUGAUGCAGCGACGCCGCGUGGAGGAAGAAGGUCUUCGGAUUGUAAACUCCUGUUGUUGAGGAAGAUAAUGACGGUACUCAACAAGGAAGUGACGGCUAACUACGUG
rnacentral:rRNA from 1 species